rnacentral:rRNA from 1 species
AUGGUGGCCAUCGGGAUGAUGAAGAUGGCCAUCGGUGAUGAUUUCCCCCUCCAGCUGGGUGCCGGAACAGGGUCUAGAUUGGUUUUUCGUGUGUACAGAGGCUUGCACAGCGGAACUUCCGAUCUAGGGUUAUUUAUGGUGGUUUCUAUAUUUAUAGGAUUUUUUGGUGUUGGUUUCACGAACCAGGCCCGCCCUGGUGGGUUGUGCUCACCUCCUUCACCUUCUGCCCCCACGGAGCUUCUAGUGCCUCUUUUCUUCCAAAAAAUCGUCAAAAAGUUUCAGCUCAUUUGGAUAACUUUGAUUUCUGCACAAAAAACAACACCAUGGUAG